UAGUCGGUUAUCACGGUUGCUU
rnacentral:misc_RNA from 1 species